CAAUACAAACAACAAGAAGUAUAGUGGUUCGGUGCUCUCCUAAGCACCUACGUCCACUCCCCAAGCGACCCCUUGAGAAUUCACUAUAAUCCCGCGGAUUACAGUUGGAUUGUUUUUCGGGCUCACAAUCCAAAAAUCUUUACACUUUGGUUUUCCGGGUUCACCAAAAACCUAUGUUGGUUUUACGGGCUCACCAACGAACCUAUGUUGGUUUUCCGGGCUCACCAACGAACCUUUACAAUUGGUUUUACGGGUUCACCAAUCAACCUACACCGUUGGUUUUGCGGGCUUACCAACUAACCUUUACAAGGAGUUUAAUAAACGAAGUAAGAAGAUUUAAGCUCCUAGAUGAGC
rnacentral:lncRNA from 1 species